UUUAUGGAGAGUUUGAUCCUGGCUCAGGAUGAACGCUGGCGGCGUGCCUAAUACAUGCAAGUCGAGCGAACAGACAAGGAGCUUGCUCCUUUGACGUUAGCGGCGGACGGGUGAGUAACACGUGGGUAACCUACCUAUAAGACUGGGAUAACUUCGGGAAACCGGAGCUAAUACCGGAUAAUAUUUCGAACCGCAUGGUUCGAUAGUGAAAGAUGGUUUUGCUAUCACUUAUAGAUGGACCCGCGCCGUAUUAGCUAGUUGGUAAGGUAACGGCUUACCAAGGCGACGAUACGUAGCCGACCUGAGAGGGUGAUCGGCCACACUGGAACUGAGACACGGUCCAGACUCCUACGGGAGGCAGCAGUAGGGAAUCUUCCGCAAUGGGCGAAAGCCUGACGGAGCAACGCCGCGUGAGUGAUGAAGGUCUUCGGAUCGUAAAACUCUGUUAUUAGGGAAGAACAUACGUGUAAGUAACUAUGCACGUCUUGACGGUACCUAAUCAGAAAGCCACGGCUAACUACGUGCCAGCAGCCGCGGUAAUACGUAGGUGGCAAGCGUUAUCCGGAAUUAUUGGGCGUAAAGCGCGCGUAGGCGGUUUUUUAAGUCUGAUGUGAAAGCCCACGGCUCAACCGUGGAGGGUCAUUGGAAACUG
rnacentral:rRNA from 1 species